rnacentral:ncRNA from 1 species
GGAAUAAUAGUCUGGACAGAGCCUUUACCAAAAGACUGCGUGCCCAAGACCGUGGCACGUCGAUGAUCUUGCAGGGCACCGGCAACAAUUUCCGAAGCACUUGCCGAACCACCAUUGAUAAGAACGAUCAAUGGUUUUCCAUUGAUGAUAUCGCCCGAUUUUGCGUCAAAGCGCAUCACCUCUGCUUCAUCUCUGCCGCGGGUGGAAACAAUCUCUCCCUUAUUCAAGAAAGCAUCCGAAACACUGACAGCCUGAUCAAGCAGACCACCCGGG